UACGGAAGGUCCGGGCGUUAUCCGGAUUUAUUGGGUUUAAAGGGAGCGUAGGCCGGGUUUUAAGCGUGCCGUGAAAUGUCGGGGCUCAACCUUGACACUGCGGCGCGAACUGGGGGGCUUGAGUGCGCCGGAGGUAGGCGGAAUUCGUGGUGUAGCGGUGAAAUGCAUAGAUAUCACGAAGAACCCCGAUUGCGAAGGCAGCAUACGGCAGCGCUACUGACGCUGAAGCUCGAAGGCGCGGGUAUCGAACAGG
rnacentral:rRNA from 1 species